rnacentral:piRNA from 1 species
UGAAUGGAUGAGUGAUAAUGAUAAUGAGU